rnacentral:ribozyme from 13 species
GUUAAUUGUCUUCUCUCUUCUUCUUCUUCUUCUUCUCUCCCCCUUCUUCUCUUUUUUUUUUGGGCCAAUUUUAUUGUCUUUGUUUUGCAGAAUGACAAAGAUGGUGAAACAACAAAAAUGUAAAAGAAAAAAAAAACAAUAUUCAGUUUCUGUUGACAAA